rnacentral:rRNA from 1 species
UACGUAGGGGGCUAGCGUUGUCCGGAAUCAUUGGGCGUAAAGAGCGCGUAGGCGGCCAGAUCAGUCCGGUGUGAAAGUCACAGGCUCAACCUGUGAAUGCCGCUGGAAACUGUCUGGCUAGAGUCCGGAAGGGGCGAGUGGAAUUCCUGGUGUAGCGGCGAAAUGCGCAGAUAUCAGGAGGAACACCAAUGGCGAAGGCAGCUCGCUGGGACGGUACUGACGCUGAGGCGCGAAAGCUAGGGGAGCAAACGGG